GGGCCCGUCGCCUAGCCAGGAUAGGGCGCCGGCCUUCUAAGCCGGCGGUCGCGGGUUCAAAUCCCGCCGGGCCCG
rnacentral:tRNA from 1 species